rnacentral:rRNA from 1 species
UGUGAAGUACGGCCCACCANGNCGACGACGGGUAGCUGGUCUGAGAGGACUACCAGCCACACUGGAACUGAGAUACGGUCCAGACUCCUACGGGAGGCAGCAGUGGGGAAUAUUGCACAAUGGGCGAAAGCCUGAUGCAGCGACGCCGCGUGAGGGAUGAAGGCCUUCGGGUCGUAAACCUCUUUCGGCAGGGACGAAGCGAUCAGUGACGGUACCUGCAGAAGAAGCCCCGGCUAACUACGUGCCAGCAGCCGCGGUAAGACGUAGGGGGCGAGCGUUGUCCGGAUUCAUUGGGCGUAAAGCGCGCGUAGGCGGCUGCGCAAGUCGGUUGUGAAAUUCCGGGGCUCAACCCCGGAACUGCGUCCGAUACUGCGUGGCUAGAGGUAGGUAGGGGAGAUCGGAAUUCCUGGUGUAGCGGUGAAAUGCGCAGAUAUCAGGAGGAACACCGGUGGCGAAGGCGGAUCUCUGGGCCUUACCUGACGCUCAGGCGCGAAAGCUAGGGGAGCGAACAGGAUUAGAUACCCUGGUAGUCCUAGCCGUAAACGUUGGGUGCUAGGUGUGGGCGGAUAU